AGUAAAGUACCUUAUUAAAGGGCUACCUUGAUACGGCAGAAAUGUUUAUUACCUUUACUA
rnacentral:tRNA from 1 species